GCUGUUCGCCAUUUAAAGUGGUACGCGAGCUGGGUUUAGAACGUCGUGAGACAGUUCGGUCCCUAUCUGCCGUGGGCGCUGGAGAACUGAGGGGGGGGCUGCUCCUAGUACGAGAGGACCGGAGUGGACGCAUCACUGGUGUUCGGGUUGUCAUGCCAAUGGCACUGCCCGGUAGCUAAAUGCGGAAGAGAUAAGUGCUGAAAGCAUCUAAGCACGAAACUUGCCCCGAGAUGAGUUCUCCCUGAGACUUAGAGUCUCCUGAAGGAACGUUGAAGACGACGACGUUGAUAGGCCGGGUGUGUAAGCGCAGCGAUGCGUUGAGCUAACCGGUACUAAUGAACCGUGAGGCUUAACCUUACAACGCCGAAG
rnacentral:rRNA from 1 species